rnacentral:piRNA from 1 species
UCUUACAACUGAUGUUCUGGGAUGGGACUG